UCUCCGUAGGUGAACCUGCGGAGGGAUCAUUAACACUUGAUCUAUAACCAAUUAUAUAUUAAAACAAAACAAAACAAAACAACUUCUGUGAACUGUAUCGAGGAGGGAGGGUUGGUUGGUUGGUUAUUCUAUUCUAAUCUAAUCUCUUCUCAAUCACGACAACGAGUAUUAUAUUAUAUUAUAUAUUCGAGAGAAUAUAUAUAUAUAUAUAUAUGCUUGUGUUAUAUAUAUAUUUUUUUACUAUUAUUUAUAUGGAACCAAUCGAAAGAUUGAUUGACAUUACUAAAAAGAAAAAACAACUCUUAGCAAUGGAUAUCUUGGUUCUC
rnacentral:misc_RNA from 1 species